CUCCUGGAGAGAGACACUUCCUUUACCGUCUGUCCAGAUGUCCCUAGAACUCCAGUGGGCAAAUUUCUUGGUGAUUCUGCAAACCUAAGCAUUUUGUCUGAGGAACCCCAAAACGUUGCCUCGAUCUUUCGAAUCUUAGCAGUGGGGAGAUAACUGCCACUCAGCUUACCACUUCUGCAGACCUUGAUGAAACUGUCACCUGGAUUCUUCAGGACUUCAGGAAGUGCAUUUAGCUGGGAGACAAUGGAAACUUGGUGGACAGUGAAAUGAAAUAUUUGGGCAGUCCCAUUACUACUGUUCCAAAAUUGGAUAAAAAUCCAAACCUAGGAGAAGACCAGGCAGAAGAGAUUUCAGAUGAAUUAAUGGAGUUUUCCCUGAAAGAUCAAGAAGCAAAGGUAAAGUGUUCUG
rnacentral:lncRNA from 1 species